rnacentral:rRNA from 1 species
CAGUAGCCGCGGGAAAACGGAGGAUGCAAGCGUUAAUCGGAAUUACUGGGCGUGAAGCGUGCGUAGGCGGUUCGUUAAGUCUGUUGUGAAAGCCCCGGGCUCAACCUGGGAAUGGCAAUGGAUACUGGCGAGCUAGAGUAUGGCAGAGGGGGGUGGAAUUCCGCGUGUAGCAGUGAAAUGCGUAGAUAUGCGGAGGAACGCCGAUGGCGAAGGCAGCCCCCUGGGCCAAUACUGACGCUCAUGCACGAAAGCGUGGGGAGCAAACAGGAUUAGAUACCCCUGUAGUCCCUGUCUCUUAUAC